CAAAUGACUCUCGGCAAUGGAUAUCUCGGCUCUUGCAUCGAUGAAGAACGUAGUGAAAUGCGAUACUUGGUGUGAAUUGCAGAAUCUCGUGAACCAUUGAGUCUUUGAACGCAAGUUGUGCCAGCGGCCUUGUGGUCGAGGGCACGCCUGCUUGGGCGUCAUGG
rnacentral:rRNA from 3 species